AAAUAAGCUUUAUGUGUAUAGAUGUAUUUUUAUGGGCUUGUUUAAAUGCAAUUUACUUUUAUCAUAUUGGGAUAUUUUUGUUGUUUCGUAAUAAGCAACAUUUUUAUUUACAAGGAGAUGUUCAGAUAUCUUUCUUCGGAGUAUCGAAAAUUAUAAAAAUAUUUUAAAAAUGCUGCAAACUAGUUGAGUUUGAUAAUUGUGAUAAUAUUAGAAUUCACCAUAUAAAUAUCAUAUCAUAUCAUAUAAAUUUUACUGUAUGAUAAAAUAACACAAUAUUCAAAUAAAUUAUAAUUUUCGAGUAAGACAUAAUUUGGUGCGAUGUUUUUAAAAAUAACUAAAAAAUUGAAAAGCAUUUUAAUUUUUUUUUAUUUUUUAUUCUAUAAAUUUGCGAUGACAACUACCAGUAAGAAAGCACGUGAUGUGAAUUAAAAAAAGUUUAAAAAUACUUUUAAAUAUUAUAAAAAUUUUAAAAUAAAAUUUAAGUAUUUUAAAAAAUAUAAUAAUAAUAAUAAUAUAUGAGAUGUU
rnacentral:lncRNA from 1 species